rnacentral:rRNA from 1 species
AGAGCGGGAGCCCGGAGAUGGGCACUGAGACAAGGGCCCAGGCCCUACGGGGCGCAGCAGUUACGAAAACUCCACAAUGCACGAAAGUGCGAUGGGGCUAACCCGAGUGCCGUCCGCUGAGGACGGCUUUUCUCCGCUGUAAGGAGGCGGAGGAAUAAGGAGAGGGCAAGACUGGUGUCAGCCGCCGCGGUAAUACCAGCUCUCCGAGUGGUAGGGACGAUUAUUGGGCUUAAAGCGUCCGUAGCCGGCUCGACAAGUCUCUCGUUAAAUCCAGCAACUCAAUUGUUGGACUGCAAGAGAUACUGUUAGGCUAGGAGACGGAAGAGGCCGACGGUAUUCUCGGGGUAGGGGUGAAAUCCUAUAAUCCCGGGAGGACCACCAGUGGCGAAGGCUGUCGGCU